rnacentral:rRNA from 1 species
AGAGUUUGAUCAUGGCUCAGAGUCAACGCUGGCGGCGUGCCUAACACAUGCAAGUCGAACGAUGAUUGGAGAGCUUGCUCUUCGUGAUUAGUGGCGCACGGGUGAGUAAUGCAUAGGUAAUGUGCCCCUUAGAGGGGGAUAGCCACUGGAAACGGUGAUUAAUACCCCAUACUCCUUCUGGUCAUAAGGCCAGUCGGGAAAUGUUUUUCGCUAAGGGAUCAGCCUAUGUCCUAUCAGGUAGUUGGUGAGGUAACGGCUCACCAAGCCAAUGACGGGAAUCUGGUUUGAGAGGAUGAUCAGACACACUGGAACUGAGACACGGUCCAGACUCCUACGGGAGGCAGCAGUGAGGAAUAUUGCACAAUGGAGGAAACUCUGAUGCAGCAACGCCGCGUGGAGGAUGACGCAUUUCGGUGUGUAAACUCCUUUUAAGAGGGAAGAUUAUGACGGUACCUCUUGAAUAAGCACCGGCUAACUCCGUGCCAGCAGCCGCGGUAAUACGGAGGGUGCAAGCGUUACUCGGAAUCACUGGGCGUAAAGGGUGCGUAGGCUGACUUUUAAGUCAGGGCGUGAAAUCCGAUGGCUUAACCAUUGAACUGCGCUUGAAACUGGGAGUCUAGAGUUCAGAAGGGGCAGAUGGAAUUAGUGGUGUAGGGGUAAAAUCCGUAGAUAUCACUAGGAAUAUCAAAAGCGAAGGCGAUCUGCUGGGAUGAUACUGACUCUGAGGCACGAAAGCGUGGGGAGCAAACAGGAUUAGAUACCCUGGUAGUCCACGCCCUAAACGAUGAAUGCUAGUCGUCGGGGAGCUCGUCUCUUCGGUGAUGCACUUAACAGAAUUAAGCAUUCCGCCUGGGGAGUACGGUCNGCAAGAUUAAAACUCAAANGGAAUAGACGGGGACCCGCACAAGUGGUGGAGCAUGUGGUUUAAUUCGAAGAUACACGAAGAACCUUACCUGGCCUUGACAUGGUAGGAACCCUGUAGAGAUACGGGGGUGCUAGCUUGCUAGAGCCUACACACAGGUGCUGCACGGCUGUCGUCAGCUCGUGUCGUGAGAUGUUGGGUUAAGUCCCGCAACGAGCGCAACCCUCGUCCUUAGUUGCUAACGGUUCGGCCGAGCACUCUAGGGAGACUGCCUUCGCAAGGAGGAGGAAGGUGAGGACGACGUCAAGUCAUCAUGGCCCUUACGGCCAGGGCUACACACGUGCUACAAUGGGGCGUACAGAGAGCUGCGAUACCGCGAGGUGGAGCCAAUCUCUUAAAGCGUCUCUCAGCUCGGAUUGUUCUCUGCAACUCGAGAACAUGAAGCUGGAAUCACUAGUAAUCGCAGAUCAGCUAUGCUGCGGUGAAUACGUUCCCGGGUCUUGUACUCACCGCCCGUCACACCAUGGGAGUUGAUUUCACCCGAAAUCGGGAUGCCAAACCGGCUACCGCUUACGGUGGAAUUAGCGACUGGGGUGAAGUCGUAACAAGGUAGCCGUA